rnacentral:rRNA from 1 species
GCGGUUUGUUAAGUCAGAUGUGAAAUCCCCGGGCUCAACCUGGGAACUGCAUCUGAUACUGGCAAGCUUGAGUCUCGUAGAGGGGGGUAGAAUUCCAGGUGUAGCGGUGAAAUGCGUAGAGAUCUGGAGGAAUACCGGUGGCGAAGGCGGCCCCCUGGACGAAGACUGACGCUCAGGUGCGAAAGCGUGGGAGCAAACAGGAUUAGAUACCCUGGUAGUCCACGCCGUAAACGAUGUCGACUUGGAGGUUGUGCCCUUGAGGCGUGGCUUCCGGAGCUAACGCGUUAAGUCGACCGCCU